rnacentral:tRNA from 1 species
GGGUCGUUCACUCAGUUGGUUAGAGUACCGGACUUUUAAUCCGGCGGGUUAUCCCAUCGAAGGUUCGAAUCCUUCACGGCCUACAA